rnacentral:lncRNA from 1 species
UCGUCCACAGGAGUAGCAGAAGUAGACGAUUGGGAAUAGUUACUUACUCCAAUCAUGUGGAAAACUAAACUUUUGGAAUUGUCAACAAAAAAAAUUACACAUUCGGUUGCAUGAUAGGAAAGAUAGAAAAUCUGUCAUUUAAAAUAUUAUAUUUUAAGUUUGAACCAACUGACAACCGAGAACCGAGAGCACAGUGAAGUCCUUGGUUGUGAAUGAUAGCAACAUUGCUCUUGCUCAUAGUUCUGAUGAUUAGCCAUCUGCAAUUAAACAGAAAUAGUCUAAGAGAGGUGAAAGAAAUUAGAACACAAAUUAAACAUCACUGCUUUA